UACGUAGGGGGCUAGCGUUGUCCGGAUUUAUUGGGCGUAAAGAGCGUGUAGGCGGCUAUGCAGGUCCGCUGUGAAAACUCGAGGCUCAACCUCGAGACGUCGGUGGAAGCCGCAUGGCUAGAGUCCGGAAGAGGAGAGUGGAAUUCCCGGUGUAGCGGUGAAAUGCGCAGAUAUCGGGAAGAACACCCGUGGCGAAGGCGGCUCUCUGGGACGGUACUGACGCUGAGACGCGAAAGCGUGGGGAGCGAACAGG
rnacentral:rRNA from 1 species